CCUACGGGUGGCAGCAGUAGGGAAUAUUGCUCAAUGGGGGAAACCCUGAAGCAGCAACGCCGCGUGGAGGAUGAAGGUUUUCGGAUUGUAAACUCCUUUUGUUAGAGAAGAUAAUGACGGUAUCUAACGAAUAAGCACCGGCUAACGCCGUGCCAGCAGCCGCGGUAAUACGGAGGGUGCAAGCGUUACUCGGAAUCACUGGGCGUAACGGGCGCGUAGGCGGGAUAGCAAGUCAGAUGUGAAAUCCUAUGGCUUAACCAUAGAACUGCAUUUGAAACGGUUAUUCGAGAGUAUGGGAGAGGUAGCUGGUAUUCUUGGUGUAGGGGUAAAAUCCGUCGAGAUCAAGAGGAAUACUCAUUGCGACGGCGACCUGCUAGAGCAUAACUGACGCUGCUGCGCGACAGCGUGGGGAGCAAACAGGAUUAGAUACCCCGGUAGUC
rnacentral:rRNA from 1 species